rnacentral:misc_RNA from 1 species
GAUGAAGAACGCGAGCGAAAUGCGAUAAGUAGUGUGAAUUGCAGAAUUCAGUGAAUCAUCGAAUCUUUGAACGCACAUUGCGCCCCUUGGUAUUCCAUGGGGCAUGCCUGUUCGAGCGUCAUUUGUACCUUCAAGCUUUGCUUGGUGUUGGGUGUUUGUCUCGCCUUUGCGUGUAGACUCGCCUUAAAAUAAUUGGCAGCCGGCGUAUUGAUUUCGGAGCGCAGUACAUCUCGCGCUUUGCACUCAUAACGACAGCGUCCAAAAGUACAUUUUACACUCUUGACCUCGGAUCAGGUAGGGAUACCCGCUGAACUUAAGCAUAUCAAUAAGCGGAGGA